rnacentral:lncRNA from 1 species
AUGCUGGGGUCCCGGACGCCUCAGAAGGGCUCCGAUAAAAAGCGUGGAAGUCUCAGGAUUCCAGGCAGCUUCCUCCCAGCCUGCUCAGCCCCCGGCGUCCGGCCCGGCGUCCCGCUCACCUGCUGUCAUGGGAACAACGUCGGGACGCAGCAGCAUCUGGAUGCGGCCGGCCGGCUUGUUGCCGAUCUUGAUGUCCAUGUACACCUCCUGGGUUUCCACUUUGGGGGGCUCCGACCCUUCUUCCUCCUUAUUCUCUUCAAGAGUCUUCCCAGAACACUUCUUCAGCCGGUCAUCAUCUGCCCACACCGAAAGGGAAAGAAUGGAACACGUGCUAAGACAUUCAAGCUGUCGGCCAACUGCUCCCUAGCUGUGCCCAGUUCUUUGCUGCCUUGUCAGCAGAGCGGAUGCCCCGUGGGGCUCUCACCGGCAGAAGUUACCUCUUCGGACAGGGAAGCUGUCACUGGAAAUGUCAGGCCUUCAGGUCCCGCUCUCCACAGAGGCAGGGGCAGAUGAGACAAAGGAGGACUGAGCCGAGCCAACAGGGAAGGCCCAGCCACUGUCAAGGCUGGAAGGGCGCAGUCUGUGUCUACAUCCCGGGACAAGGUAAAAUGGGCACAGUGGCUCUAGCUUUGGAGAGAAUCCCCACUCUGUUCCCACGGAGGCACCGCAUUCUCUCCUCCACCGCACAGCUCUCUACCGUGAACAUUCACCGCCGCCCAGGGAGUGAGGCCGGGAUAAAAAGCAGCAGAGGCCAAAGAUGAGCCUUCCUUAAUUCUCACCAGUUUGGCUAAAUGGACACAAAUGGUCCGCCCAAAGAAUUCAAUUCACUAUGAAAACAACUGCAAUACAACUCAGCUGCUUAAACCUUGUUUAGGCUAAAAAAAAAAAAAAAAAAAAAGAUUCCAUUUGCUUCUAAGAAGUCUAUGCUGGGAGCCCACAGCCCCCAACGGCAAGCUAAGCACAAAGCUAACCAUGAACUCCCUAAGCCACCACACACUUCUUUUCUGUCAACACCAACAGGAAGUUCUGUGCUGGCAUGAUCUUCGGAUCUGAGCUCAGAAUUCUGAAAUUAUAAGGGUAAAUGCGGUUACCAUGUAGUGAGGCCACUUUAAAAAAUCAAGAUCGGGGCACCUGGGUGGCUCAAGUCAGUUCAGUGUCUGCCUUUGGCUGAGGUCAUGACCUUGGGGUCCCAGAAUGAGCCCCACAUUAGGCUCCCUGCUCAGCAGGGAGUCGGCUUCUCUUUCUCCCUCCCCCCGCCCCGCUCGUGCUCUCUCUCAAAUAAAUAAAAUCUUUUUUUUUUUUUUAAGAUUUUA